rnacentral:rRNA from 1 species
UGCGUAGGUGGUUUGUUAAGUCUGAUGUGAAAGCCCUGGGCUUAACCUUGGGGCUGCAUUUGAUACGUGUAGACUAGAGUGUGAGAGAGGGUUGUGGAAUUCCCAGUGUAGAGGUGAAAUUCGUAGAUAUUGGGAAGAACACCGGUGGCGAAGGCGGCAACCUGGCUCAUUACUGACGCUGAGGCGCGAAAGCGUGGGGAGCAAACAGGAUUAGAUACCCUAGUA